GUCUCACGCAUUCACUCCCUCGUUUUGCCUAAAGACUACAAAACUACUCCUUCAAGAAACAUAAAAUAGAAAGGAACUCUAGACUCUCUACCUUUUUUUUUACAUCACUAUCAUCACCCUUGAAACAUUAAAACCAAUUUUCUAACCUCUUAUCCGCCAUUCAUCUAUAUCUCAUCAAGCACACUCUUAAUCUCUCUUGUUCGUGUUGUUUACCUCUUUGUGGGACUUAGAAUCUUUUGCUAGGAAACACUCGACAAAGACUUUCGUUUCCAGAAUCAUUCUUCAAGGUAUUGGCAUCGCGUUGUUGAGCCUCAUGAGGGUCGUUGUACCUUUUCAGGUACCUCUUUGAGAAUGAGAGGGUUGUACCAUUAUCAGGUUGAUUUACAAAGUAUGAAACAAAGUAUGUUUUUAGAAUUCUUACUCUUAUUGAGAGGAUGUUACAUGUUCAAUCAUAUAUCAGAUCCAAGGUAUGAAAACACUUUGACUAAUUUACAUCAAUUCUAAUAACUCUCUAUUGAGAGGGUUUUUCAUUCA